ACCUAUAUAUUUGAAUUAAAUCCAACAUCCAAUAGACUUUUCUUUGUUGUGGAUUUAGUCACUUGGCGCGCCCUGUGCUAAGAUUUAUUACUCCCUCAAUAAGCAACAUGGUCCUUUGUCGCUAAAAGGCAACCCGCGACCGAACAAAAAAAGUACAUACACACAAAGCGAAGUGAUCACAGUCAAAAAGAGAACUUAAAAGCGGCCGGUAGUUGCGCGUUAAUUGCAAAGCAAGCGGUAGUGAAAAACAAUCAAACUAAUAAAAAUUACAGAAAAACCAAAUUUAAACGCAAAUAUAAAGUGAAGUGAACCAAAAGUUUAUAAAAUUGAUAACUAAAUCUAUUGAGAAAUUAACAUAUAUAUACACUGUGAAACAAAAACAAAAAUAGCCAAUUCUUAUAUAGCGGCACCUCAAAAUGAGCAUUAGGGUGGUUCGUUAUACAAAAAAUUAUUAAAAUUAAAUAAAAGCACUGUGGAAAAGUGGGUGAAUUGACGGAAAAACGUGAAAAUAGCUGAAACUAAAAAGGCGUAUAAGCGUGGCAAAAAGUGUACAGGCGCUUAAAAAACAAGGUAAAACUAAAGGCUGAAUAGUGUACUGA